GGCCGUCAUAUCCGCACUGGAAAUACACAGGGCUUCCAGUAACAGGCCUCGCCCAUGGAGCUCUAGCCACAGGAUAACAACAUGAGCACAGCAGAGCCUGUAUCUCUCCAGCAGUGUUGGACCUGGACCACAGCCCGAGCAGCAGGUAUUCUCAUUAUGCAUACCGUGGUCUAUCUGAAUUUUUCAUCACACGCAGGAACACAACACUGCCAUUUCAAAUUACAAAAACCAAACACUCCAUGGUCAAGCCCCUCCGUAUGUUUCCGAUCUCCUGUCCACUUACUCUGCUGCCAGGGCACUAAGGUCCACAACCGAACAACUCCUCGUCAUCCCCCAGACACCGAAAAACCAGAGGGGACCGAGCCUUUUCUGUAGUAGCCCGCAAACUCUGGAAUGCCCUCCCACCCCAUAUCAAAUCCUGUAAUACAAUUGCCAAAAAGAUUCAGAGCUAUGAACUGAACUCAACUUUUUCUUAUCUUUUUGUAUUUGCAAAUUUUGUUCCAUAGUUGUUUUUAUUCUAUGUCACAUUAUUUGACUUUACCUUGCCUAACUAUAUUCAUGGAACGUUGCACACUUGAUUAUGUAUUUUUAAGGCAUACUGUUUCUGCCUUCCCUGCUCUACCUGUAAAG